CGUAAUUCAACUCCUCAAACCGGAAUCG
rnacentral:sRNA from 1 species